UACGUAGGGUGCGAGCGUUGUCCGGAAUUACUGGGCGUAAAGAGCUCGUAGGUGGUUUGUCGCGUUGUUCGUGAAAUCCCACGGCUUAACUGUGGGCGUGCGGGCGAUACGGGCAGACUGGAGUACUGCAGGGGAGACUGGAAUUCCUGGUGUAGCGGUGAAAUGCGCAGAUAUCAGGAGGAACACCGGUGGCGAAGGCGGGUCUCUGGGCCGAAACUGACGCUGAGGAGCGAAAGCGUGGGGAGCAAACAGG
rnacentral:rRNA from 1 species